AAGAUACUAAUAAAACAGCCCAUUAUACUGCCUUGUCAAGGCAAAAUUGCGGGUUAAAAUCCCGCGUAUCUUA
rnacentral:tRNA from 1 species